rnacentral:rRNA from 1 species
UACGUAGGGGGCAAGCGUUGUCCGGAUUCAUUGGGCGUAAAGAGCGUGUAGGCGGCCAGGUAGGUCGGUUGUGAAAACUGGAGGCUCAACCUUCAGAGGUCGACCGAAACCAUCUGGCUAGAGUCCGGGAGAGGAGAGUGGAAUUCCCAGUGUAGCGGUGAAAUGCGUAGAUAUUGGGAGGAACACCAGUGGCGAAGGCGACUCACUGGACAUGUAUUGACGCUGAGGUGCGAAAGCGUGGGGAGCAAACAGG